rnacentral:rRNA from 1 species
CCUACGGGUGGCAGCAGUAGGGAAUCUUCCACAAUGGGCGAAAGCCUGAUGGAGCAACGCCGCGUGGGUGAAGAAGGUCUUCGGAUCGUAAAACCCUGUUGUUAGAGACGAAAGUGCGGGAGAGUAACGGUUCACGUUUCGACGGUAUCUAACCAGAAAGCCACGGCUAACUACGUGCCAGCAGCCGCGGUAAUACGUAGGUGGCAAGCGUUAUCCGGGUUGAUUGGGCGUAAGGGGAACGCAGGCGGUCUUUUAAGUCUGAUGUGAAAGUCUUCGGCUUAACCGGAGUAGUGCAUUGGAAACUGGGAGUCUUGAGGGCAGAAGAGGAGAGUGGAACUCCAUGUGUAGCGGUGAAAUGCGUAGAUAUUUGGAAGAACACCAGUGGCGAAAGCGGCUCUCUGGUCUGUAACUGACGCUGAGGUUCGAAAGCGUGGGUAGCAAACAGGAUUAGAUACCCGGGUAGUC